UAGGGAAUCUUCCACAAUGGACGCAAGUCUGAUGGAGCAACGCCGCGUGAGUGUAGAAGGUCUUCGGAUCGUAAAACUCUGUUGUUAGAGAAGAACACGAGUGAGAGUAACUGUUCAUUCGAUGACGGUAUCUAACCAGCAAGUCACGGCUAACUACGUGCCUG
rnacentral:rRNA from 1 species